GCAAGUCGAACGCGAAAGAGGGGCAACUCUCGAGUAGAGUGGCGGACGGGUGAGUAAUACGUAGGAAUCUGCCCUAGAGUGUGGGAUAACCUGUCGAAAGAUGGGCUAAUACCGCAUAAUCUCUAAGGAGCAAAGGUGCCCCGUACUUGAUACGGGGUUUCGCUUUAGGAUGAGCCUACGUCGGAUUAGCUAGUUGGUAGGGUAAUGGCCUACCAAGGCUACGAUCCGUAGCUGGUCUGAGAGGACGAUCAGCCACACUGGAACUGAGACACGGUCCAGACUCCUACGGGAGGCAGCAGUGGGGAAUAUUGGACAAUGGGGGGAACCCUGAUCCAGCAAUGCCGCGUGUGCGAUGAAGGCCUGAGGGUUGUAAAGCACUUUCGGUGGGGAAGAAAUGCUCAAAGAUAAUACAUUUGAGAGCUGACGUUACCCACAUAAGAAGCACCGGCAAACUCUGUGCCAGCAGCCGCGGUAAUACAGAGGGUGCAAGCGUUAAUCGGAGUUACUGGGCGUAAAGGGCGCGUAGGCUGAUAUUUAAGUCGAUUGUGAAAUCCCUGGGCUUAACCUAGGAAUUGCAUUUGAUACUGAAUAUCUUGAGUAUGGUAGAGGAAAGUAGAAUUCUCGGUGUAGUGGUUAAAUACGUAGAUAUCGAGAGGAAUACCGGUGGCGAAGGCGACUUUCUGGGCCAAUACUGGCGCUGAGGCGCGAAAGCGUGGGGAGCAAACAGGAUUAGAUACCCUGGUAGUCCAUGC
rnacentral:rRNA from 1 species